rnacentral:rRNA from 1 species
AGCAGCCGCGGUAAUUCCAGCUCCAAUAGCGUAUAUUAAAGUUGUUGCAGUUAAAAGCUCGUAGUUGAAUUUCGGGAUUAGUACGCUGGUCGUGCCUUCGGUACGUACUGGUGUUACUGAUUCCUACCUUCUGACGAACCGUCAUGUCAUUAAUUUGAUGUGGCGGGGAAUCAGGACUGUUACUUUGAAAAAUUAGAGUGUUUAAAGCAGGCUCGCGCUUGAAUACAUUAGCAUGGAAUAAUGAAAUAGGACGUUCGAUCCUAUUUUGUUGGUUUCUAGGAUUGACGUAAUGAUUAAUAGGGAUAGUUGGGGGCAUUAGUAUUCAAUUGUCAGAGGUGAAAUUCUUGGAUUUAUUGAAGACUAACUACUGCGAAAGCAUUUGCCAAGGAUGUUUUCAUUAAUCAAGAACGAAAGUUAGGGAUCGAAGACGAUCAGAUACCGUCGUAGUCU